GCGUAAACCACAGUGCAACGGUUCAGCACGCGCUCCUGGAAAGAGUGGGAUCUGGGUUCGAAUCUCGGCUGACGCA